rnacentral:tRNA from 1 species
GUUCAGUUAGUUAAUAAGAAUAUUGGUUUGUGAUAUCAGGGGUAUAUAAAUUAUACUGGACU